rnacentral:rRNA from 1 species
CCUACGGGAGGCAGCAGUGGGGAAUUUUUCACAAUGGGCGAAAGCCUGAUGGAGCAACGCCGCGUGCAGGAUGAAGGCCUUCGGGUUGUAAACUGCUUUUAUAAGCGAGAAAUAUGAUGGUAACUUAUGAAUAAGGAUCGGCUAACUACGUGCCAGCAGCCGCGGUCAUACGUAGGAUCCGAGCAUUAUCCGGAGUGACUGGGUGUAAAGAGUUGCGUAGGUGGGAUAAUAAGUAGCUAGUGAAAUCUGGUGGCUCAACCAUUCAGACUAUUAGCUAAACUGUUAAGCUCGAGACCGUUAGGGGUAACUGGAAUUUCUAGUGUAGGAGUGAAAUCCGUAGAUAUUAGAAGGAACACCAAUAGCGUAGGCAGGUUGCUGGGACGGUUCUGACACUAAGGCACGAAAGCGUAGGGAGCAAACGGGAUUAGAUACCCCGGUAGUC